GAUGAACGCUGGCGGCGUGCCUAAUACAUGCCAGUCGAGCGAACAGAUGAGGAGCUUGCUCCUCUGACGUUAGCGGCGGACGGGUGAGUAACACGUGGAUAACCUACCUAUAAGACUGGAAUAACUUCGGGAAACCGGAGCUAAUACCGGAUAAUAUAUUGAACCGCAUGGUUCAAUAGUGAAAGACGGUUUUGCUGUCACUUAUAGAUGGAUCCGCGCCGCAUUAGCUAGUUGGUAAGGUAACGGCUUACCAAGGCAACGAUGCGUAGCCGACCUGAGAGGGUGAUCGGCCACACUGGAACUGAGACACGGUCCAGACUCCUACGGGAGGCAGCAGUAGGGAAUCUUCCGCAAUGGGCGAAAGCCUGACGGAGCAACGCCGCGUGAGUGAUGAAGGUCUUCGGAUCGUAAAACUCUGUUAUUAGGGAAGAACAAAUGUGUAAGUAACUAUGCACGUCUUGACGGUACCUAAUCAGAAAGCCACGGCUAACUACGUG
rnacentral:rRNA from 1 species